UCCUGGUGCUGCGGGUGGAGAGUUUCAAGGUGACUGUGAGCUUCAGGAGAGAAAGGAGGGCAGAGUGCCCAAGGCUGCACCAGGGCAAGGACGGGCGUCUGGCUCCCGGCCGGCCGGUAGGUGGGUUGCUGGACACCAGUUUAAAAGAAGAAAGAUUAUUGACUCCAUCAAGUUGGCAUAACACAGCAACCGAAUAUACUUCCAGCAUUUACAGUCCUGCUGGAUUGGUCUCCAGGCUGGAAAUUUAUGCAGUGAACUUCUAGGGAAAUGCUGAAGCAAAUGCUAAACAAGAAGCUACUUUUUUCACUCUGAAGUUCUAGCUGCAGCCUUAAGAGAUCGGGAGAAAUGUAAAAAGUGAGAAAUAAAUCAGAAGUAAAGUUGGAACCCAGGCCAACUUCGGGCACGGUGACAGAAGGGCUCACCUUCAGAGCACGGAGCUGACCGAGUCAUGUUACAGCCACAAAGAGGCAGUUAGGACUCGUCCCUGCCUUGGAGAAGAGAUGUCCUCUAGAAGUUUGUUUUUAUUUUGUUUUGUUUUUUUCUUCUUUCUAGGAGGGAUUGGCAGGAUUACGCUAAUGGAGAAAGGAGGGAAGGAAGGGCAGGUGGAAAGAGGGGAGGAGAUGGUACUUGACCAUCAAGCAGAUGGCGG